UACGUAGGGGGCGAGCGUUGUCCGGAAUUACUGGGCGUAAAGGGUGCGUAGGCGGCAUGGUAAGUCGGAUGUGAAAUCCCCGGGCCUAACUUGGGGGCUGCAUCCGAGACUGUCAAGCUAGUGUGCAGGAGAGGAAAGCGGAAUUCCUAGUGUAGCGGUGAAAUGCGUAGAUAUUAGGAGGAACACCAGUGGCGAAGGCGGCUUUCUGGACUGUAACUGACGCUGAGGCACGAAAGCGUGGGGAGCAAAC
rnacentral:rRNA from 1 species